CUGCAGUCACCAUAAGUGAAUGUCCUUUCAAUUCAAUAACAGGUUCAAAGCUAUUAACACACGCGUGAACACAAAUGCUUUCAUUAAAAUCAAGUAAACCAUCAAGAGAUAGCCGUUGCUUAUUAUGGCGGUGCUAACGUAAAGCUAACACGUAACAUCUACCGACAGAAGAAAAAAAAAAAUCAUGGAUGAAGGGCAGGGCACACAAACAGGAGUCCACAGUAAAAAACCGCGAUGACAGGUGUGUGUAGGAUCAUGGAUGCAGAUUGACCAAACAAACACGAACAUACGUUGGCCAAACAAGCUGAAGAAACAUCUCAACAUAUGUGAAAGAGGCAGCAUUGGAGUUGGCAGUCGCUCCGCCGAGUGAUCCUCUCGUCUCUCAGCACUGCUGCCAUGCACGGGUCCCAGCAGAGCCCAGCAAAAUACGACGAGCUGAACCCUCCUAAGUGUGGACCAAAGCUGCGACAGGCCCGGUUUUAUGUAAAUUUGUUGAUGCCGAAUAUGUUUGGACACCGCGCGGCUUUAAUCUCCGCCAAAGAGCCAUAAAGGUCACCGUCUUCUGAUGCAAACAAAUACACCCUCUAAACUUUUUUGGUGAUGAAUCAUUAUUUAUUGUUCUAAAUGAAAAGCACGGUGGACAGCUUUGCGCUGCCUGUGUACUCCUAAGCGGUGUGUAUAUGUUCGCCGUUUGAAGGGAGCGAACGACUUUGAGGUUCUUUUUGAAGUGAUCCCCCGAGACGCAGUUUGCUAAUUAUUUGCUCUUUCAUGAUGAAUUCAGCUGCACUUCAUUAGAUGCUUCCCACUGAUGUUGUCGUCUUAGAUCCUGUUUCCUCAAUGCGCACCGUGAACCAUUUAGGUAAUUGAGUGAUUAAUUGAUAGCUAAUGAUCAACACAGACCUUAUGUUCUACUUUCAUUUAGAACUUGACUACCCCUUUAUUGAGUUGUUACUUGCAAUUGCGAAAAGUUUUCAAUUCGAUGAGAGGCCUUUUACCUCCAGAGGGACUACGAAAGGGGAGAAUGGUUGCUUUUAAAGAAAGUGGAUGGGGAAAAAUAACACAAAAAACCCUUGAGGUGUUGGCAUGUCCCAUCACUGGUGUUGUUAGUGAGGGUUUCAUCAUGAUCAGUCUUCAGGGAGCUACCUCCACUGAUGAGGUCCUGUCAAUCACACGGCUGCGGGCCAAGGCCUGGUUUGAAAGGGUCACCUCAAACAAGGGAUCCUAAACCUCCAGACUCCCGAAUCGUAUUAACGUUUGAUGAUUUUGGUUGGUUUUGCAUUAACAUUCAUCAUGGAUCAGUAAUUAAUUGAGGUCAGAUAUUAUCGACUAAAUGCUUAUUAAUUAUACUCCAUAUUUGCUCUCUGCUCACCAUGCAUACCACCACCAUCACUCUAUGUUCCAGCAGCAAAUUCAAGAUUCAUGUUAUGUGACUUAGUGCAGUAUAUGUUAGAUUUUCAGUUAUAGUGGAUGAGUUUUGGAUGUGUGCCACUCAAUAAACCGGAAAGUUAUUUCCAAAAAGAAUGUGUAAAUGUUAAAAACUAACA